UGAAACGCAGGGAAAUGGGUUCCAAAU
rnacentral:piRNA from 1 species